UACACGACACUUCACUUGCUCCCAUCUCUCCUACCGCUCUUGUUCUGAAAUACUCUCCCUCUGAGGCCUAUGGGCUAUGGCUAUGGCUGCCUUUGUUCGCACAGCCGCUAGCGUGAGGGGUUUCCUUCUCCCUCCAACCCGCAUCGUUCACCAAUCCCAGGGAGAUCGAUUCUACAACACGAUCAUGGCAUGCACAGCCUUAAAGUAACACUAUAAUUCUUCAUUUGUAGCACUAAGCACACGCUAUGAAUUAAUAUAUAUAAUACAUUUACACACACAUCAUUUUCUUAAUUUGUUUCCUCUCUCUCUCUCUCUCUCUCUCUCUCUCUCUCUCUCUCAUGUCGACUGAGCAAGCAAGUACUAUUUCAUCUCUCUUAGCCACAGGCUUCGUGCAGGCUCGAGACCAAAGGGAAAGUGAGGCCACGCACUAUCAUCUCUGUCUCUCCCCCUAGCUCUCUAUUGGAUUGGCUUGCUCCCCCAAUAGGAGAAAAGCGAGGAUUCAGAAUCCUCCUCUUCCUCCUCCCCUUCCACGCCAUCUCUCUCUUCAGCUAGAUAGCUUCUCGAUUCACCUUCUUUCCUUGCACUCGUCUCUAGCAGCCGUGGUGCAGCUAGGUGAUUGAGUAUAUACGAGAUGCAGCGCACGACCGAUAGGGAGCUGUAGCUAGAGAUCGAUCGAGACAUGAUACGUACCACCACACGGUCGCGGCCAGCAGCACCAGCAAGAGGAGGAGGAGGAGGAGGCUGUCGCCGCCAUGGUCCCAACAACUAGGAACCUGUUGUUGCACCAUGACGUCGACGGCAAGAGCAGCCGCGGCAGGCCGUGCUACCACCCGGCCGGCCACCAGUACUACGUCGGCAUCGCCGCCCAACUGGAGGCCUCGGCGGCAUCCGCCGCGUGGCAGCAGGACCACCAGAGCAAGCCGUCGAGAUCCCCUCGGCUGCUGGGCAUGGCAGACGACGACGAGCAGCCGGACGCGGCGGCAGGGCCCAGCACGAGCUCCGCAUCACCGGGCGGCGCCGGCGCAGGAAACGGACGAGGAGGAGACUGGCUCCAGCUUGGCCUAGCCGCAGCCGCGGCGUCGGCGUCGUCCUCCGGCGACAACAGCACCAUGGAUCCGGAUCCCCCGGCUCCCACGGAGCUGGAGCUUUCCGCCUAUGACAAGCGGAACGCCUGCAGGAUGAGGCGGCCGCCGUUGUUCCCGCUGCCGCUUAGGAGCUACCACCCGCCCUACGGCUACGGACGGUAUCGACCGGCGGCGGCAGCAGCUAGCCGGUCCAUGCCGUUCAUGCCUCCGUCCAGGUGCUCCAGCAGCGAUGCCAUAAUAAGAGUCAUCAGCCCGCCGCGGCGGCGGACGGAGGCGCCCAGGCUGUGGCUGACGCUUCAGGCAGCUCCCAACCAAAGUAGAGAGCCUGUUUUGCCUCAGAUAGCAAAGAGCUACCUAAGAAUCAAGGACAGCAACAUGACGGUGGAGGUGGUGAUGAAGUACUUGGCCGAGAAGCUAGGGGUCGCGCGGUCUCGGUCUCGGUCUCGGUCUCAUCAGGUAUGCAUCAACUCCUGCACCAUUACGUUAUUAUUCGGAGUGCUCUAAUUUGCAAAGCAUAAUAAACACGCGUCGUCGUGGUUUUACGUAUUCGACUAAUAGUCAAUAGCGAACUAAACAGUGGUAAUUAAUAAGCAUGCACUCUUGCUGAAAUCGAUCUGCAGCACAACUUGAACUGCGUAUAUUUAUUUAUUUAUUUAUAUAAUCGUCAUGAAAGAAACAUUAUACCUAAGCAUACGUAGGGCCCUAUAGGCUUGUUGUUUCUUUCUUUUUCUUUUUUCCCUUUUUUGUUUUUGCUUUCCAAAUCACAGUACGCGGAGGGGGACUGAAGGGGCUAAAAUCUCCUUAUUCAAUUUUAAAUAAGAAGGUAAUUUUAGCUCCUUAAUCUACUCCAGCAUUUUAGUUUCCAAAGUAGCCGUUCAGGUGAGGUAGUCGAAAACUAACACCGGAAACGUCUCGUGCGUUUAAUUCCAUAUACGAUGGAGACUUGUAAUUAAGAGAGUUGAAAAGGGAUUGGAAAUGGACCGAGUAUGUAUAUAUAUGUUCAGAUCAGCAAAGGUAACCGUUGAAUCAUGAAAGAGGCUAGGCUAUAGCUGCUCAUCAGGUGUCUUCAAACCAUAUCAGGAGGCUAUAGGCCAGCUUGAUUAUUACAUAUUAUGAAUGCAUUAGUUAAUAUUUGUCCGAAGACGAUAUAUGCCUCCAAGAACCGGUUGUUUACACUAAAGAAGCCGGUUCGGAUUAAAAAAAAGCCAAGCGAAGGGGCCAGCAUGCAGGGGCGUCCAUGGGCCUGUGCAGGCUGGGCGACCGCACAGGGCCCCCAAAGUUGAAGGGCCCCCAAGUUAAUCUAAAACAUCAAGCCGGCGGGACUGCAAGAACCGAGAGCGCGCGGCCAAGGCCGGAGGCCAGAGAGACUGCGGGAGCGGGAGCGCACCGUCAACCCGUCGUGCCCAGUGCGUCAAUGCCCACCGGCCACCGCCAAGGCGACGUCGGCCAGCCGCCAGCCGUAGAGCAGACAGGUGGAGCUGACAUGCAGAGGGCAGGUCCUUCCUCCCUUUCUGCUGGUGAGAGACGUGUGGGAGACAAUCUGGUGCUCCACGGCGGCGGCGGCGGCGCCUAGGGAAGGAGUAGAAGAAGAGACACCAGCCGACGACCACCUGACUGCGCGGCGGCGCUCGUCAGCUGCUACUGACCAUGUCAUGACACUGUGUUACAGCACAAGUAGGAACAGCAUUGCAAGCUAGCUAGCACCACUAGAUCUGUAAUUAACUCCACUUAUUGGCCGACAUGUUCUUUGGGGGGGUUUUACCAACUCCGAUCACUGAUGGCUGGCUAACCGAUGAUGCGAUGCUUGGACGUUGGACCAACCAACCAAAUCACCCUCACGAUUUCCUUCUUUGCUCCAUUUCCCAUGGGUUCCCUCGUCACUAUUUAGUCUCCGUAGAUUGUGUUGUCAUCAGUCUUAAGCAGCAUGGUUUUCCAAUUAAAUCCAGAGAAUAUAAUCUUUCGACACUUUCUUUC